CUAAUCUCUCUGACAGCAUUCCAUGCUGGUGGCAAAAUACUCUCUGAAGUUCUGCACCUAACAAUAUUUCAGGAUAUGGGAAUUUCAAGGGUAGUUUCUUCUUUUUAAGCAACACUCAGCAGCCCCGGACACAUGGCAGAACUAAGUGCUACACCUGUACACACCAACCAGCCACCCUGGUUUCAAAUAUUAAGCCUGGAGCUUGUCUUCUAGGUGCAAAAUCUCCACUGCCUUCCAAAGUCAAACCCACCUACUGCGUCUGUAUCCAAGACUGACCUGAAACUGUCCAGCUCCUGACAAUAAAGGUCUUCCCUACUUCCAGAUUUCUUUGAAAUUGCCCUCCUCUUUCCAUGGUGAAGUAGGAACUGCAGAUCCAGAGAGUUUUGGGCUUGGGUUGUUGGGUUUUCUGUAGGGAACUGUUUGUUUUUUUGGGUUUUUUCAGAAGAUUUGUUCAUAGUAUUGACAUUGAAAAUACCUAUUUUAUAAAUGUGAUUCUAACCCUUCCCUAACCACUAUAAUUAAUUAAAUAAAUGUCAGAAGGAUAAAUUA